rnacentral:rRNA from 1 species
AACGAACGCUGGCGGCAGGCUUAACACAUGCAAGUCGAGCGCCCCGCAAGGGGAGCGGCAGACGGGUGAGUAACGCGUGGGAAUCUACCCAUCUCUACGGAAUAACGCAUGGAAACGUGUGCUAAUACCGUAUACGUCCUCCGGGAGAAAGAUUUAUCGGAGAUGGAUGAGCCCGCGUUGGAUUAGCUAGUUGGUGGGGUAAAGGCCUACCAAGGCGACGAUCCAUAGCUGGUCUGAGAGGAUGAUCAGCCGCACUGGGACUGAGACACGGCCCAGACUCCUACGGGAGGCAGCAGUGGGGAAUAUUGGACAAUGGGCGCAAGCCUGAUCCAGCCAUGCCGCGUGAGUGAUGAAGGCCCUAGGGUUGUAAAGCUCUUUCACCGGUGAAGAUAAUGACGGUAACCGGAGAAGAAGCCCCGGCUAACUUCGUGCCAGCCGCCGCAGUAAAAC